UACGUAGGGUGCGAGCGUUAAUCGGAAUUACUGGGCGUAAAGCGUGCGCAGGCGGUGAUGUAAGACAGGUGUGAAAUCCCCGGGCUUAACCUGGGAACCUGGCAUUUGUGACUGCAUAGCUAGAGUACGGUAGAGGGGGAUGGAAUUCCGCGUGUAGCAGUGAAAUGCGUAGAUAUGCGGAGGAACACCGAUGGCGAAGGCAAUCCCCUGGACCUGUACUGACGCUCAUGCACGAAAGCGUGGG
rnacentral:rRNA from 1 species